GGCGAACGCUGGCGGCGUGCCUAAUACAUGCAAGUCGAACGCAUUUUCUUUCACCGUAGCUUGCUACACCGAAAGAAAAUGAGUGGCGAACGGGUGAGUAACACGUGGGCAACCUGCCCAUCAGCGGGGGAUAACACUUGGAAACAGGUGCUAAUACCGCAUAAUUCCAUUUACCGCAUGGUAGAGGGAUGAAAGGCGCUUUUGCGUCACUGAUGGAUGGACCCGCGGUGCAUUAGCUAGUUGGUGGGGUAACGGCCUACCAAGGCUGCGAUGCAUAGCCGACCUGAGAGGGUGAUCGGCCACACUGGGACUGAGACACGGCCCAGACUCCUACGGGAGGCAGCAGUAGGGAAUCUUCGGCAAUGGACGCAAGUCUGACCGAGCAACGCCGCGUGAGUGAAGAAGGUUUUCGGAUCGUAAAACUCUGUUGUUAGAGAAGAACAAGGAUGAGAGUGGAAAGUUCAUCCCUUGACGGUAUCUAACCAGAAAGCCACGGCUAACUACGUG
rnacentral:rRNA from 1 species